UUUUUGCAACAAUAUGAUUAUGUAAAUGAGUAGCAUGAAAAAUACCAUAAAACCUUAACAAUAACAAUAACAAUGUGAACGUCAAAAAUAACAAUAACAAUUCAUUAAUGUUCAACAUGAAAAUUAGAAAAAAAAAACAAUGACAAUAACAUAAUGAUAAAACACUUAAUGGCCUUGAUGACGUCGAAUGUCACUCAGAGUAUCCUCAAUUAUGUCCAUCCUUUGAUCAACCCUGUCAAUUCGGGUAUUCAUGUUUUGUAUGCCGGACAAAAUUUGAGUUAACAAUUCCCUUUGAGUGGGGUUUGCCGGACAUAUUUAAUUAACUAUCUACUAACUCCUUAAUAUAAUUAACUAAACUAAACUCUAAACAAAUUAUAUUACAACCAACAUUAAUUUACUAACGCCUUACCAUAAUAAACUAAAAUAAAUUCUAAACAAAUUAUAUUACAAAACCAUAAUCAUUCAAACAUAAAUAUAAAACAGAAAUUAAAAAAAAUAACUUUACAUAAAAAAUUUAAAAACCUGAAGAUAAGCACUCAAGAACAGCAAUAGGGAUGACUUAUAGGAUGAAGAACACACCUGAAAACAACAUAAAACAAAUUAAGAAACAUUUCUAUUUCACAAAUUUUACAACAUAAUCGAUUAUCGCAUCACUUAUAUACACAGGAUAAUCGAUUAUCAAUGCAUAAUCGAUUAUGUUAGUAGGCAAAAAACAACCAUAAUCGAUUAUCACAAUAAAUAAUCGAUUAAGACCCCUUUUACACACUUCAGAUAAUCGAUUAUGGGUCGAAAAUUUUACAGAUAAUCGGUUACUCGCUUAACUUAAUCGAUUAUCUACACCAUAAUCGAUUAUUUUACCUGUGCUAUUUAAGCCAUAAUCGAUUAAGCAACAAUCAAACACAUAAACUCACCUCAGAUCAACCCAGAGAUGAACCCAGAUGAAGCCAGAGAUGAACCCAGAGAUGAACACAACACUUUGAGAUGAACAACCAACCCCUACCACACACUAUGACUUACGAAUCUCUCCAACUACACACUCUAUGCUUCGCUUUCUUUGCUUAUCUGUGAAUGGAGGAAGCAGCUUCAUCGUUUUAUAAAGAAACCAGGUUCCACACCUACCUCUCACCCACUUCAUUGAUGACCUUUCAAACUUUCACAUGGUCAAACGAUUCCUGAGCCAAGUCAGGAAUCUCAUGCUUUCAUGUGGCAUGCAUGCAGGGCCACUGUUCUUCUUGAUUCCAGCACAAAAGCAAGGGCAACAUUGUAAGUUCGUGUGGAUGACUUGGCACUCGCACUCCACAGUGCAACUUUCUCUUCAUCUUUCAGGAGAAGCACAAUUCACUCACCUUUCUCUUUCCUUCCACCCUCACCCACAACAAUGCAUGGAUCCAAACGGGGUGGUGUUGUGACUUCCGUCGUCGACAACAGUACCACCCCUGGAUCCAAACGGGGCCUUAGGGAGAAUAGGAAGAGAGGGAUAUUUUCCUUUGGUUCAGCAAUGUUCCAUUUAUGGUUAGUUCAGAUUCCAGUAUCCAAUUUCUACACUAAUUUCCCAAAACAAAAUUAUGCCAUCCUAAACCAUUAGUUUGACAUUUUAAAUAGGGGGAAGAAAUUAAUAUAAAAAUGUUAAAUCCAUCAUGAAAAUUGAUAAUCCCUUUAUUUAUGUACAUACAAGGUUCUAGAAAUGCAUAUCUGAAUUUGAAAGCAACACCUCUGAGGUUCACAUUUUUCUUUUAAGAGAAAAAAAAGCCACUAACAUAUACUCCUCUAAAUCCAAUAAUCAAUAAGGAAAAUAAAAUUAAAAAUCGAGACAGAGAGAGAGAAAUGUACCAGCCUUGGAAGAAGGAAGUAAAACCGGGGUUAUCAUGGUGGCAGUGGUAAUGCGAAGGAGGUGGCGGAGGGUACUCUUGAUUGAAAUAGCUUUGGUAACCUUGGUACUGCGGAGGCGGUGGCGAGAACGGUGCAUAUCCCGGCGGCGCCGGCACCGACGCUAUGGGUAACUCAGUGGCGGAUAAGGACGGGUGUAGCCUGUGUUGAUUAAAUUGAAAGAGAAUUAGCAGAACAAUUGAGGCAAAAAAGAGUGUUUAAUUUAAUUUAAUUCAUUUGCUUAAUUGAAUAAUUUACCCGGGGGAGGAUAAUAAGGGUCUCUCAGGUAAUUACUCAUUGUGUGGGGAAUUGCAAUGAAGGACACUUUUUUU
rnacentral:lncRNA from 1 species